rnacentral:rRNA from 1 species
GAUGAACGCUGGCGGCGUGCCUAAUACAUGCAAGUCGAGCGAACAGACGAGGAGCUUGCUCCUCUGACGUUAGCGGCGGACGGGUGAGUAACACGUGGAUAACCUACCUAUAAGACUGGGAUAACUUCGGGAAACCGGAGCUAAUACCGGAUAAUAUAUUGAACCGCAUGGUUCAAUAGUGAAAGACGGUUUUGCUGUCACUUAUAGAUGGAUCCGCGCCGCAUUAGCUAGUUGGUAAGGUAACGGCUUACCAAGGCAACGAUGCGUAGCCGACCUGAGAGGGUGAUCGGCCACACUGGAACUGAGACACGGUCCAGACUCCUACGGGAGGCAGCAGUAGGGAAUCUUCCGAAAUGGGCGAAAGCCUGCCGGAGCAACGCCGCGUGAGUGAUGAAGGUCUUCGGAUCGUAAAACUCUGUUAUUAGGGAAGAACAAAUGUGUAAGUAACUAUGCACGUCUAGACGGUACCUAAUCAGAAAGCCACGGCUAACUACGUG